ensembl:lncRNA
GAAACAUUUAUUACUAUUAUUUUCAGUGUUGAAAACAGUUGUGAUGCUUAAUAUUUAUGAUAAUUGGAAUAUAUUUUUUUUUGUAACAUAAAUGUCUUUAAACUCACUUUUGAUCAAUUUAAUGCAUCCUUGCUGAAUAAUAUUAUUAAUUUCUCAGAAAAAGAUAUACUGACCCUGACAUGUAGUAUAGUAUAAUGUCAUUUAACUUACAAUACAACUAUUUUAUUUUAUUUUUAACUGACUCUGCAAUCCAAAUUAUCACAAUUUAUGAGGUUGCUUUACAAAUCCAUUCAAAAAUCUGCGAAGCAUGUGUUUUUGCAUAUAAGUGUCUUAUAUAACUUGUGUUUAAUUAAUUACGUAAGGGAUUUAUAGACAUUCCCCUGGUAAAGGUGCUCUCAUAAAGUGUGUUCAGCAAAACUAUCCAGCCUCUUGUUAGCGCAACACUUAAAUGCCUCUUCUCUCUGAUCACAGGGCAGAAAAAACAGAGGUACUGAGUGAAGACCUGCUGCAGGUGGAGAAGCGUUUAGAUCUGGUAAAGCAGGUCUCUCAUAGCACACAUAAGAAGCUGACCGCCUGUCUGCAGGGACAACAAGGCGCCGAUUUAGACAAGAGAUCAAAAAAGUUGCCCCUGACGAUACUUGCUCAGUGUAUGGUGGAGGGAGCGGCUGUGUUAGGAGACGACUCUCUUCUUGGUAAGAUGCUGAAGCUCUGUGGUGAGACAGAGGAGAAGUUGGCCCAAGAGCUGCUCGUCUUUGAGCUUCAGAUUGAAAGAGAUGUUGUGGAGCCUCUGUAUGUGCUGGCUGAGGUGAUGAGCAUUAACAGCAAACUUGUCUUGGACAUGGAUUCUGCGAGGACACGGUGGCAACAGUCAUACAAAUCGUCAGGUCACCCCAGUAAUGUGCAGCAGGGCGGAGCUAAGGCGGAUUCCUUGAGAGAGGAAAUGGAAGAGACGGCCAAUCGGAUGGAGAUCUGCAGGGACCAGUUAUCAGCGGAUAUGUACAACUUUGUGGCCAAAGAAAUAGACUAUGCAAACUACUUUCAAACGCUCAUAGAAGUUCAGGCGGAGUAUCACAGGAAGUCUUUGGAGAUUCUGCAGAGUGUGCUGCCACAGAUCAAAGCUCACCAGGAGGCCUGGAUAGAGAAGCCAUCGUAUGGAAAGGCCCUAGAGGAACAUCUAGCCAUCAGUGGCAGGGAGAUUGCGUUUCCUAUCGAGGCGUGUGUCACCAUGCUGCUCGAAUGUGGCAUGGAGGAAGAGGGUUUAUUUCGGGUGGCCCCCUCAGCCUCCAAGCUGAAGAAACUGAAGGCAUCACUGGACUGCGGGGUCCUGGAUGUGCAGGAGUACUCGGCCGACCCACAUGCCAUCGCAGGAGCCUUGAAGUCUUAUCUUCGUGAACUUCCUGAACCUCUAAUGACCUUUGAACUCUAUGAUGAAUGGAUUCAAGCUUCAAAUAUUCAAGAUAUGGAUAAAAGACUCCAAGCCCUUUUGUGUACAUGUGAGAAACUACCAGCAGACAGUCUAAACAAUCUCAGAUAUUUAAUAAAAUUCUUAGCCAAACUCACGGAGCAUCAAGACGCUAAUAAAAUGACGCCAGGUAAUAUUGCAAUAGUUCUUGGACCCAACCUGCUGUGGACACAUUCAGAAGGGAACAUGACGGAAAUGAUGACCACCAUGUCCCUGCAAAUCGUCGGCAUCAUUGAGCCGAUCAUCCAGCACGCUGACUGGUUCUUCCCUGGAGAUAUUGAGUUCAAUCUGACAGGCAGCUACGGCAGCCCGGUCCACACCAACCACAACUCAAACUACAGCUCUAUGCCCUCACCCGAUAUGGACCAAUCAGAGCGCAAGCAGCAGCAUGACCAGAGCCGACGCCCACUCAGUGUUGCUACUGACAACAUGAUGCUGGAAUUCUACAAGAAGGAUGGCAUUAGGAAAAUUCAAAGUGUGGGUGUCAGAGUCAUGGACACAUCGUGGGUGAAGGGCAAAAGUUCCUCUACACUGGCCCGCAAAGCCUCAUCCACGCCUCCCAGCGCACAACCACCCGGCUCUCCUGCGGACACGCUGAUCACUGAGCAGCCCGUCAUGUUUGUCUCUCUCUCCAGCACUCUGAAGAGCAAGGAGCUCUCUCCUGUGAUUGGCCACAAAGCUAUGCAGGCAUCAGGAGUAACAGUGCCCCCUGUCAGCGGUCAGCAGAGCAACAGCCAGUCUCCCCACUCUGCCGAGCACAGCCCCCACACCUUACGUAAUGCCUCUAAGAAACUGGCCCCUGUGCCGCCCAAGGUUCCAUACGGCCAGUCGGGGGGGAUGUCAGACCAAUCCACAGGUCAGCCGUCUCCGGUCAGCCUGUCCCCCACUCCCCCAAGUACCCCCUCCCCAUACGGUUUGGGCUGUCCCCCUGGACACGCGCCCACCUCUUCCCCUGGCCAGACCCCAUUAGGGGGAUCCCAUACGUUGUCCUCACUGCCCUCUCUGACUGGUACGCUCACAAAGUCCCGACCCACCCCAAAGCCCAGACAGAGACCCAGUCUACCCCCUCCCCAGCCACCCACCGUCCCCCCUACGGCCCCCCAGCCCCUGGAGCAGGGUCUACUUGACGGAUUGUCCCCCGGGGAGAGCAUGUCCACAGGUAAACAUGCCUCAGUGGCAACAUCCCAAGUGGGAGGCCAGCGUCCCUCUCUCAAACUGUCUGUCUCUCCGUCCUACGCAGGCGAUGGACUUUAAGGAGCCAGAUCCCCUUAUGAAAUGUGAAGACAUAUGUCUUAAAUAUGGAGUGCCCAUAGAUUCAGUUGCCUUUGAGAUAUAUAGUAUGAUAAUUAUUUUUGAACCCCUAGGAUUAUAUUUUAGCUCAAGGAUUUUAAGAUAAAAUGGAAACAAAGGGAAUUCACUUUAAGCUCAAGGACAUACUGUAUAUAUUUUACUACAAAGUGAAGUGUGUAAUUCUUGCAUCACCAGUGAAAAAAUAAUGACUUUCCAUACAGAGUUUGCACAGACUCUUCUGCUCCACCACAAGCAGGUAGUCUUGUACCAAUUUCAUGCUAUUGCUUGAGCCAGAAGUUGUUGGACAUUGGACCGCUCAAAGCAAGCAAGCAGUGUUUUAAAAGCACACUGAGUUUACAUUCUUUGGGGUGAAAAAAAGAGUAAAAAUUGGCAAGUACUUGCGGAAAAUCUUCUAAUAGCUUUACAUUCAACUUUCAGGGAUUGAAAGGUUGUGGUGCGGUCAUAUUUGCCAUGGUUUAGUGAAUUUUCACAGGUGAAAUCCAGUAAUUUCAACAAGAAUCCAAGUGAUCAGGAAUCACACGUGAGGGUGAACUGUUUCCCCAUGCACAAAUUUAAUAGGAAACACAAAUUGGUUGCAUGGAAAGAAUUUGAACUUGCUGAAAAUCAACUCCAAGUUGAUUGAUUGAUUAGCUUUACGUUCAACUUUUAGGAGUACAGGUGCAGUCACAUUUACCAUUGUUCAGCGAAUUUUCACGGGUUCAGUCGUUUCAAUAGGAAUCAGGAAUAACCAGGCUAGAGAUAUCCAGAUGCAGAUUUCGCAAAGGGUUUAAAUUGGUCACAUGAAAAAAAAAAAAAGAAAAAUGUCAAGCACUUGCUGAAAAUCGUCAACUUCAAAUUUAUGGGUAGCUUUGCUUUCAACUUUCAGGAGUAUGUGUAUUCACAUUUCUAGAAUUUCUUUCAGGUGAAAGAUUUUCCCACACAGAUUUCAUAAGAAAUACAAAUUUGUCACACUGAAAAAAUUGGCAAGUGCUAGCUAAAAAUCAUUUCAGGACUGACGGUGCAGUCACAUUUACCACCAGGUUUUCUCAUAAAGUUGCCUGUAAACAACAAAAUACAAACAAACUGAACUUCAGGUGGUCACGUUACAAACUGCUAUUUUGACCAGACUCUAUGCUGCAAGUUGAAAGUUUGGCUUCAUGAGACUGACCUACAGGGGCGUUGCACAAGAUCCCGGGCCCUAUGCAUAGGCAGUCCUGAUAGGCCCCCAUGCCCCCCCCCGAAAAUAUCCAGGUGAAAUAAAAUAUAUUCCAGACUUUUCA